UCUUUUCACAUGGCCAGGUUCGAGCGGAAAGGCCACUUCGGUGGUACUCGAGCGGCGAACGGGUGAGUAACACUUUGAGUAAUCUGCCCCUGGCUUUGGGAUAGCCACCGGAAACGGUGAUUAAUACCGGAUAUGACCACUUCACGCAUGUGAUGGUGGUGGAAAGUUUUUCGGCCAGGGAUGUGCUCGCGGCCUAUCAGCUUGAUGGUGAGGUAAUGGCUCACCAUGGCUUCGACGGGUAGCCGGCCUGAGAGGGUGACCGGUCACACUGGGACUGAGACACGGCCCAGACUCCUACGGGAGGCAGCAGUGGGGAAUAUUGGACAAUGGGCGGAAGCCUGAUCCAGCAACGCAGGAUGAAAGGGAUGACGGCCUUCGGGUUGUAAACCUCUUUCGCCUGUGACGAAGCGCAAGUGACGGUAACAGGUAAAGAAGCACCGGCCAACUACGUGCCAGCAGCCGCGGUAAU
rnacentral:rRNA from 1 species